CCUACGGGAGGCAGCAGUGGGGAAUAUUGGACAAUGGGGGGAACCCUGAUCCAGCCAUGCCGCGUGUGUGAAGAAGGCCCUCGGGUUGUAAAGCACUUUCAGUGAGGAAGAACGCCUGGUGGUUAAUACCCAUCAGGAAAGACAUCACUCACAGAAGAAGCACCGGCUAACUCCGUGCCAGCAGCCGCGGGAAUACGGAGGGUGCGAGCGUUAAUCGGAAUUACUGGGCGUAAAGCGCGCGUAGGUGGCUUGAUAAGCCGGUUGUGAAAGCCCCGGGCUCAACCUGGGAACGGCAUCCGGAACUGUCAAGCUAGAGUGCAGGAGAGGAAGGUAGAAUUCCCGGUGUAGCGGUGAAAUGCGUAGAGAUCGGGAGGAAUACCAGUGGCGAAGGCGGCCUUCUGGACUGACACUGACACUGAGGUGCGAAAGCGUGGGUAGCAAACAGGAUUAGAUACCCCAGUAGUC
rnacentral:rRNA from 1 species